ensembl:ncRNA lncRNA:CR46002 long non-coding RNA:CR46002
AUUGCUGUGAUGAAACUCCAUUCUCCUCAGACUUUUGAAUAAUUAUCUCCCGUAGAAUUUCAGCCGAGUGCAGCGGCCAUAUCAGAGCCUCAUAUCUCGUAUCACAUAUCAUCACACCCACUCCAGGGUAAACAAAACGAAACUGUAAACGGCAAUUAAAAGCAACUGUGACCCGCAGAAAACGAACUGUAUAACCACGUAUGUAUGUAAUAACGGCGGUAAAGGCUUUAGCUUUGGUCAACGACUUCCGAACGGACAGCGAGGAAUUUAAAACAAUGAACGCGAUUCUAAUCGCGCCUGCAAUCAAAUUUUCAUACGAAAUUUGUCGCGAAAAACAGUUGUGGGCCAAAUUCGUAUGCAAAUUGGUUAGCGAAAAGGCGGUGGAAGUUGUCCAAUUCCAAAAGUGGCCUGCAAGCGUUCAUUUAGCCACUUGAGCGCCGGAUACCAAAGGGGGAAAAAUGAAUAAUAAAAUCGGCAACAAAAAGUGGGUGGAUGUGGUUGUAAUUGAGGGAGGAGGGCGUGCCCCG